UGCGGAGGGGGCUAGCGUUGUUCGGAAUUACUGGGCGUAAAGGGCGCGUAGGCGGUGCGAUAAGUCAGGCGUGAAAGGCCCGGGCUCAACCCGGGGACUGCGCUUGAUACUGUUGCGCUGUGAGUCCGGGAGAGGAUGGCGGAAUUCCCAGUGUAGAGGUGAAAUUCGUAGAUAUUGGGAAGAACACCGGUGGCGAAGGCGGCCAUCUGGACCGGCACUGACGCUGAGGCGCGAAAGCGUGGGGAGCAAACAGG
rnacentral:rRNA from 1 species